GAAGUAGACUGUGCACAUUGGAAGUUCCUUGUUCAUCUUCCACUUGAAUAGUCCUUAUACCAUCUUCUAAUAUUGUUAGAAACUCGAUCAUUUCAUCAGAGCUAACAUGAAGAGCCAUGACUAGACUAGAUUACUACUACACUGCACUAUACUAUACUUCUCACAGGUAUGUAGGUACAUGUACUCUGACCUAAAAUUGGACCAUGCCCUGUGGGGUGGGGCUACAAUGGGUGGGGCCACGCCCAACUAGAUCAUGUACAUGGAUAGUGUCAAGUAUAGUUGGGCGGAUUCCAACUAGUGUCAAGUAGUAUCAUAUCGGAUAGAUGUCAAGUAGUAUCAUAUCGGAUAGAUGUCAAGUAGUUGAUAGAUGUAAGUAUACGUAGUCGAUAGAUGUCAACUAGUUGAUAGAUGUCAAGUAGUCGAUAGAUGUCAAGUAGUCGAUAGAUGUCAAAAGUGUACAAGUGGGUAAAGAUCGAUGUGUGCAAAGCAACCGAUAGAUGUGUGAGACACCCCCUUGAAGUGGGAUGUAUUUUUGACCUAUUUGGCGUUCCAUAAUAAUCCAAGAACCCAGGACAAGAUGAUUUCAUUAAACUCAAGUGAAUUAAGGACUGGGUCCUUCAAUUAUUGCUGAUUCAGCUAAAACGAAGCUCCGCCCACACUUUUUACCAGCAAUUGUGCAUAAAAAUGGAUCUCAAACUGCUUAAAUCUUUAGCUCUAAUUCCGGAGUCCUAAACGCUCCUUGAAGCACUUACUUUUUAGUGUAGUAGUUAGUUCUAAGGCUAGUACACACAGUAAUAUUCGGAAGGAGCCGUCUGCACUACGUAGAGUAAGUUAUUAGCUUUUACAUGUAAAAAAUUAAGCUAGAAAACUAUGUUUUAUAGAAUAUCUCACCUUUAGUUGAAGGAACAGCUCCUUCCAAAUAUUACUGUGUGUACUAGCCUUAGAACUAGCUACUGUGUGUAUAAUUUCACCUACCAUUGAUGAGAUUCCAGAUGCAAAUGUGCAGACCAUCCUCAUUGAGACGGCUACAGCAGGCGACGUUCAAUGUCAUGACAACAACAGAGCGGAUACUGUACUCAACUUGUUUAUGAAAGGUGUUCAAGAGUGUGGACUGCCUAGUAGGGUGAGAGCUGACAGGGGUGGUGAGUGUCGCUCAAUUUAUGCUGGAGCAUCCACUAAGGGGUACUGGUCGCGCCAGCUUCAUUACAGGUAGAAAUCAAAGAAUCGAGAGGCUGACGUUUUUAACAUGGAAAACAUUGACCUGCUAGAUGUAGAUGACGAAGUUCAUAUGUUUUGUCUAAGACAUGUGUUUCUACCGAGAAUCAACAUGUCAUUUAUGAGCUCAUGGAAUCCGCAUCCUCUGUCGAGUGAGGGUGGGUUAUCGCCUAACCAACUCUGGAUAUCUGGGUUGUCCAGGACCAGUGUUGAUGGUGUGAUAAGUGAGGAUGAUACUGUACUGUAUGGUGUGGACUGGAAUGGUCCAAUGCCCUAUGAACUUGACGGUGAAGCAGCGUCAGUAGCUGUUCCAGAAUCCACGGUAUUUCUGUCAGAUGAACAAGUCUCUAACCUCAGCAGUAUUGUGCCAUCUCUUGAUGAAUCAGAAAAUUACGGUAUCAACUUGGCUCUAUACUAUAUUCAAAGACUCAUAUUGACAAGUGAAUAAUAAUAAAUUUUUUCAAAUGAUGAUUGUAUAUAUACUAUAAUUAAUUUAAUUUAUGAAAUUUCAUGAUAAUGAAUGAUA